GAUUCUGGCUCAGAACGAACGCUGGCGGCAGGCUUAACACAUGCAAGUUGAGCGGGAUUGAUAGUAGCUUGCUAUUGAUCAUGAGAGCAGCGCACUGGUGAGUAACACGUGGGAACAUACCUUUUGGUGGGGGACAACAGUUGGAAACGACUGCUAAUACCGCAUAAGCCCUAAGGGGGAAAGAUUUAUUGCCGAAAGAUUGGCCCGCGGAAGAUUAGGUAGUAGGUGGGGUAACGGCCUACCUAGCCGACGAUCUAUAGCUGGUCUGAGAGGACGAUCAGCCACAUUGGAACUGAGACACGGUCCAGACUCCUACGGGAGGCAGCAGUGAGGAAUAUUGGGCAAUGGAGGCAACUCUGACCCAGCCAAUGCCGCGUGAGUGAAGAAGGUUUUCGGAUUGUAAAGCUCUUUCAGACGGGAAGAUGAUGACGGUACCGUCAGAAGAAGCACCGGCUAACUUCGUGCCAGCAGCAGC
rnacentral:rRNA from 1 species